rnacentral:rRNA from 1 species
CCAGACUCCUACGGGAGGCAGCAGUGGGGAAUAUUGCACAAUGGGGGAAACCCUGAUGCAGCAACGCCGCGUGAGUGAAGAAGUAUCUCGGUAUGUAAAGCUCUAUCAGCAGGGAAGAAGAUGACGGUACCUGAGUAAGAAGCCCCGGCUAACUACGUGCCAGCAGCCGCGGUAAUACGUAGGGGGCAAGCGUUAUCCGGAUUUACUGGGUGUAAAGGGAGCGUAGACGGCCAGGCAAGUCUGGAGUGAAAGCCCGGGGCUCAACCCCGGGACUGCUUUGGAAACUGCCAGGCUGGAGUGCCGGAGAGGCAAGCGGAAUUCCUAGUGUAGCGGUGAAAUGCGUAGAGAUCGGGAGGAACACCAGUGGCGAAGGCGGCCUACUGGGCUUUAACUGACGCUGAGGCACGAAAGCGUGGGUAGCAAACAGGAUUAGAUACCCCAGUA